rnacentral:lncRNA from 1 species
AGAACAGGUCUUGCAGGGACAGGGUUGGACAGCUACAUGGAAAAAGUUAUCUGGAGCCCUGCUGCCGCAGGAGGAAUGCAGAAAGGCCAUGUGCUCCUCGACCGCCCGCCCGCCCGCCUGCCCGCCCGAAGCACUGGCCUUCCCUCAUCAAAGUCUGAGGUUGACUGUGAGGUUUAUGAACAUUCCCUCUAGAAGCUUGAGGAUUCUUUCUGUGGACUGCAGACUCCCAGAAGAGGCAUUUCAAGGGACAGGAGGGUUCCAAACUCCAAGCCUUCCUCAGAACAGUGUCAUCUCAGAGAUGCAUUUAUGAAAUAAGUUUCAAAGAUGCUAAAGAAGAAAAGGAGGAGGAAGAGGAGGAGAAGGUUUUGUGUUAGCAGGAAUCUCCAUCCCUGAGACUGGAUGAACUCCUUGGGGCUAUGUGCUUAGCUGAGGGUUCACCUCUGUGAGCUCUGACCUCUACCAAGCGGCAGAACUCAAAAACCGAACGGAGACGCCCUGAGUUAUCUGCACUGUUUCAGGAGGGAUGACUGUGGACCAAUACAUAAAUGGCAGUUGGCUUUAGAGUAUACAUUCGGCCCAGUGAUUUAUCCAAGACAACAGGCGAACAGCUUGCUAUGUACACAGCAGUUUACCUGUCCAGACUUGCUUCAGGACCCUGCUCUGUGCAGUCUACCAGCCCUAAGGUGUUAGGUUACAAAGUUGCCCAAUUUCGUCAGUUCCACCUUGAGAGACCUGCCUGGCAUCCCAUGCCCAUGCUGAAGCCAUGUAAAUAACCCUUUCCCUUCGCCCCUUCUCAGACCGCUGUCUCUCCCCGCGAUUUGGCUUUGCAGCACCAAGUGUCUGGUGAUGUUUAAGGGAGCUGCACACUGGGCAUUUUCAGUCUUACUUUCCUGCUGUGGAAUCAGGCCCCAAGAGACCAUCUCAUACUCAAUAGACUGGCAGGACCAUACUGGAAUCUACAUGUCUGUUCUCCAGGGCUGCCUUACC